AAUUCCUGUUCCUCCUUGCUGUUCUCACACUUCAGACGUUUGUGGAGGGAUAUUAGACUCCCCCGGGGCCCUGGAAAAAUGGCCCUGCCAGCCUGGGAGUCUCCUGCCUGGCACUGUGCUCUCCCGGCUCGCUGAAUCAUUUAACUCUUUCCUGUGCUGGUGCUGCCACGUGUGUGACAUUUAGAACACAAGGACAGAAAGCCAGGUCAUCGAGUCGCUGAGGGACUCUCUGGCUUUACCAUCUACAGCCCAGCUUCUCAGUCACCAACACCGAAAACCCAGACCCACGUGCAGCCUCCUCCGGAAUUCCCAUCACUGGUCAGAAAGCUCAUAGUUCUCCGCCUGCCUCUCUGCCUCCCGAGUGAAGAGAAAGGCGAGUACCAUCAGACCAGGCCCUGCACGCUUUCUUUCUAGAGCUGGAUAUUGAAGCACUUUAGGUAUUAGUGAAAGUAAUUUCCGGGCUAGAGGUUUUAGGAGAAAAAAAAAAAAAAUAAAGGAGCCAACACGACAGGAGGGGCAGAUCCAAACUAUCCGGAAUCAGAAAUGCCGUGCAUCUGGGUCGUGGGACACACACGGGUACCCUCUGAUGCGACUCAUGGGCUCCACGCUAUACCCCGUGACUCAGGGAGGCGUCUUUAAGACAGCCUGCAGCUGCAGGCUGAACAAGGUGCCCUGUUGAAGCGCUGGGGGAGGAGCUGAGGCAGGAGGCUCUCAGGUCUGAACAAUGAGACGGGUGUCUUAAAAACAAAGUUUGAAUUCCGGUAUCUACUAUCAAUCGUGUGAGAUCUACUCAGAUCUUGUGGACUGAGAAACUCCUAAAGCCAAAAGAAUGCCCCAUGUACCCCGCCCCAGGGCCCCCCCCCCCCCCGUCACCUCACUCCUCCCAUCCCCCAAAGGCCUGAACCUCAAGACUCCUCUGACUGGAAACGUUCCAAGGAACGCCACUCACCUCCACC